UACGUAGGUGGCAAGCGUUGUCCGGAAUUAUUGGGCGUAAAGCGCGCGCAGGCGGUCCUUUAAGUCUGAUGUGAAAGCCCACGGCUCAACCGUGGAGGGUCAUUGGAAACUGGGGGACUUGAGUGCAGGAGAGAAGAGUGGAAUUCCACGUGUAGCGGUGAAAUGCGUAGAGAUGUGGAGGAACACCAGUGGCGAAGGCGGCAUCCUGGACCGGCAUUGACGCUGAUGAGCGAAAGCUAGGGGAGCAAACGGG
rnacentral:rRNA from 1 species